AGCAUGGGAUUCCUUAAGUAAUUGCGAAUGAACAAGGAACUGCUCAGCUUGAAAAUUGGGGCCUUCGGCCUUGAAUUGUAAUUUUGAAAUGUAUUGCCAAUGGAGGCGCAGGUGCAAGCCUAUUGAAAGAAAGCGUCAAUGAGGGUGAGAUUCCUUUUUGUCAUUUGCAGUCCUCCGUGCACGGUAUAUAUUUGACGAGUCACACUCCUCGGCAUUGGAAUGCAAAGUGGGUGGUAAAUUCCAUGUAAAGGAAAAUAUAUUAUUGAGACUGAUAGCAAACAAGUACCAUGAGGGAAAUAUGAAAAGGACUUUGAAAAGAGAAUUAAAAGAGUCUGCAUUUGCUGAACAGAAAGCAAACAGAAUUGAUCUACUUGGUGAGAUUGUUGCGUCCACUUGUGGGCGCAAUGGUUCUUACCUUGAAUGUCAGCGUCUAUUUCUGCAAAUCAUUACCCUUGCACAUGAAUGGUAAUUUGCCUGUGGGUAUUGGAAUGCAUGUGUUUGCAAUGAUUUGUGAUUUGAUACGUGUGUCUGGUGUUCUUGUGUGUGCCUUCUUGCCAAAAGGGGAGGGCUCUCCUCCCUGGGCACUGCAAGCCCUUGCACAUUGUUGCUGGCAAAAUGUUUCUGCUUGACCCGUCUUGAAACA
rnacentral:rRNA from 1 species